GACGAGGGAUCCUAGCGUUGCUCGGAAUCAUUGGGCGUAAAGAGGGCGUAGGUGGCUAAAUAAGUCAGGUGUGAAAGCCCAGGGCUCAACCCUGGAAGUGCAUUUGAUACUGUAUAGCUUGAGUGUUGGAGAGGUUAUCGGAAUACCUAGUGUAGUGGUGAAAUACGUAGAUAUUAGGUGGAACACCGGAGGCGAAGGCGGGUAACUGGCCAAACACUGACACUGAGGCCCGAAAGCAUGGGGAUCAAAC
rnacentral:rRNA from 1 species